AGCGCCGCAAGCUGAGGGAUCGGCAGCGGGAUCGGCACAGCGGGGCCGCCUGGCUGUGAGGGGCGCGGGGGCUGCGAGCGCUGUGGGUCUUGGUGCGCGCCUUGGGUCCUGCCGCACUCUUGUGCUUGCUCUUUCCGGAGCUCUCGAGGUGUUGCGCACACGCCGCCUCGGGAGGGUAGGAAGUACCUUUGGUAAGUGAAGGGUAGAGAUGGAAUGCUAAGAAAAAGUGUUCCCGGAGGAAAUUGGAAAUGCCUCUCCGUGAAGCUCUCCAUAAGGCUGUGUCAAGGAAGGUUUAGUCUUGAUGUUAGAAAAACGUUCUUCCCCCGGGGGUGGUUGGGCACUGGAAUAGUUUUCAUUUCAUUUCAUCCCCAGGGACGUGGUCACAGCGCCAAGCCUGACAGAGUUCAAGAAGUAUUUGGACAAAGCUCUUAAGCACAUGGUGUGACUCUUGGCGUGUCCUGUGCAGGGCCAGGAGUUGGACUUCGAUGAUCCUUGUGGGUCUCUUCCAACUCGGGAUAUUCCGUGAUUUUUGAUACCAGGCUGUGUGAUGUAUCCAGUCCAUGGAAACGAGGAAUUCAGGGAGUGAAAGCUUGACUAGAAAUAUAGAGAGAGGGAAACCUGAUGCCUAAAAACUGCCAGCACAGCACUUGGUGUUUGUUGUCCUUAACCUCAGAGCCCAGAUAAGCACUGAGGCAUUUUCUUUUUUAACCUAUAAGAAUGGUCUCUGUCCUUGCAGUGCCCUGACCACCGACUCAACCAGUUAUAUCAUGUCUUUACCAUGUUUUCAUUAUUUCUCAGGUAGCCUCCUGUCUUUUGCUGUAAUGCCAGAUCCACGCCAGAUGCAAGUCUUCAGGUUCCUGUUAUCACUAAUGCAGCUGCAGCAGUUAACACCAUCAGGCUGUAUCAUGUCUGCUACCUAUAGCAAAGUUCUGCAUGUUAUAUGUUGGUUUGCCUACAGAAGUUACUUGAAGUUCUGUAGCCAUGUUGUCACAUUAAGAAUAGCAGCAAGUCAGUGCUUUUUAGAGACAAGAAAGAAUCCAGGGAUAUAAUAAAUAUUACUUAUUCAGGUACACCAUUUACUCUUCCAGUGUGUGGAUGCCCAUUCUGCCAUUUCAAUAUAGAAAUAGGAGCUUUUAGUUCAGUAUUUGCUCUCAAGGUAGAGGUAGGUAGAAAACUGCAGGCAACAUGAAGGGUUCUGGCAGCCCAUGGCAUGCUUUUGCCAUGGUCUGUGAAUAAUCAAAGUGUGGGGUAUGAAAGAAGAUGUUGGUGAGGUCAUGGCACAGACAUGCAGUCAUGUUACAGAAUGCACAGCUUUUCAUAUUGUACACCAGUCCCACUGCCCUGUGCUUCCAUACACAUUAAACAUGGGAUACACCAGUAUUUCUAGUCAUAUGACUGACACACAUUUAUUGAUAUCUGACAAGUAGAGGCAUACAGUUUGUGAGUGUCUCCUUUAUAAACUGAAUAGCUUAUCCCUAUGGAAAGGUUAAGCAUCAGUGCUGUAUUCACCAUGAGCCUCAGUAUGAAGCUCAUAGGACUAGGAGCCUACACCUUUCCUAAAAAAAUAUGCCUUUGGGGGGGAAUUCUGUGAUUCUGACUGAAAAUUAAGAGAACAAGUCUUUCUAUCUAGAGGUUUGUGUUGGAUUUCAAUUUUUUUGGUAUAUCACUGUUGUCAAACUUUUCAAAUUAGUACGUGUAAGUAGAAUUGUACAAACAUUCAAGAAAAAAAAUUACUCUUCUUCUGAACCAGUGUAGUGCAAGAGGCACAUCCAUUAAUUGGUAAUGGCAUGUCAUACUCAAAAGAGAACUCAAACCAUUGAACCUGGUUUUUUUGACUUGCAGGAAUGUAUUUUUCAGCAGUUUGUAUUAAAUUGUUUUUUCUUUGUAGAUGAGGCCGAGUGAGAUCUGUUUUCACGCUGUGGUUACUGUUACAGCUCGUUCUUUCUAAACAUACAAAACCAACUGUUCAUUACAGUGCACAGCUUGUUAAUAAUCUCUUACAAAAUAUUGCAAUAAAAUAUGACCCACUGUAGUGGAAUAUUCCACUGUAGUGGAAUAAAGUUCAAAAGGUAUUUUUCCUUCCUGUAAUUUUAGUGCAAGUGGAAUUCAGAAGGUCGAACGUACAAAUCACCUGAUACGAAGUGUUGAACAGUUGCUCUGUCUCCUUUGAGAAUUGGUGUAACACUGUCGUAUGUGACACAGUGCAUAUAGUGUUAUUGUGGGUGUUCUUGACAAAGAAUACUCACCAAAGUGUGCCACAUGUACCAGAUCUUUUCUUCUUUCCUUCACACAUUGAGUCAAGGAGUAAUUUUCAGAGCACAGAAACUUGGUAGCCUUCAUUUGUCAUGUCUAGCAAUUUGAAUGUUUGACUAAAAGCUUGUAGGUUAUUUCAUUGAUUUAACUACAAAAGCCAGGAAAUUAGUAGCAAGGAAGUUAUAUUACUUUGCCAGUUUUCUCACAAACAAAAUCAGUGCUAGAAGAGCACAAGGGUGCAUGUUUGUGCAAAUAAACCAGUGUUGAUUCUGUAUAGUUACUGGUCAAGAUUUACAUAGUCUUACAUACUGAAGCUGUGAAAGGAUGUCUGUAAACUAAGAAUUUUGACAGAGAAGAGCACUUAUUUCAUCGUAACAUGUAUCCAUAGUCUCAAACUGUCCAACAUACCAUAUUUGCACUGAAAGACCUCAACUAGCCAACCAAUAAACCCACAAAACCUUGACAAUGAAAAAGGAAACAAGUAAAUGGUUAUGCUGACCCCAGAAGUUUUCCAUGCCUUUAUUUGGCUUCUGUGUCACCUAGAAUGUUAGAAGGUCCAAGAGCUCAGCAGUGCUUCGGUGAUCUACUGACUCACACAAAGGGGGAAGGAGAGCAGCAGUCAUACUUCCUGGAAGUUCUGGGACAGCACUAAUCACAUAAUUUAAAUAUUGAUAAUUAGCCCAAAAAGCAAAUGUACCUGUGAUUGGGCAUGAAACACUGAGCUGUUUUGAAGGGAGAAAACAUAAUACCCAAAGAAAUGGGGACCAUAAGAUGGAGGAGACUCUGUCUGGAGAAGACAGAAGUUUUGUGCUAUGAGUACUCAUGUUUGUAAUUUAUUGUGAUAACACUUCUAUGAAGGAUUUUGAUUUCAUUUAAUUUUAUUCUUGUGGCUGAUAAUGAAGACAAACUCACUUGGAAUGGUGUAUCCAUUAACUAAGAAGAACAAGAGCUCCAGUUGCUGGAAUGACAAAAGAAAAUUAGUGAUACCAUAGAUGUUGAAAGUCUUUUGUGGCAAAAACUUCUGAAUUUCUUUUGCCUUGGAGCUUCAUGUGAUCAGCAAUAACAAAAAUUCAGAAACAAAAUUGCAGAGGUUUCAACCAGAACAAGAACAUGAAUCCCUACUGUUUUAUUAAAUUGAUUAGCAGUAAUUCCACAACUGUUUUCAUAGCAAGUAAAUAUCACUAAUACUCAUGGUAAAGUGGCCAAAUACUUCCAUUUUUAUGGGCAAACAAGGGAAUUGAGAUUGUUUAAAGACAUGACUGAAACAGUGAAUUGUCUGGUUCAGGGAAAUAAUAUUACUUGAUCAGAUGGCUUUAACUUGUCUUUUUGAGUACCAAGAGUGCCUUUCAGGUCAAAGAAUUCCAGACCUCUAAAGCUUUAUCUCAGCAAACCACAAAAUAAAACCAUGCAACAGUACAUGCAAUUCAGAGGCUGAUGAAGGAGAUAAAGUGCAGUGACACAUUGAAGUCUGUGAAAAAUCACUGUGAACUUGAUAGGAAAUCCAUGCAGGCUUCCAUUAUGCACUUAAAAACCUCACUUUUGAGAUUUCCCUGAUUUACUGACAAGAAGCUGCAUUAAAUUCAUUAGCUUGGGAGCAAAGUUUGAGUUUGACCCUAUUUAGGAGGAACUUAGAUUUCAAAGACGCUAUGGUGGAUGUUUCAUACUUUGGGAUUAUACCAUAGAUCAGUAUAAAUAGCACAAGAACAUAAGGAAGAGCUCUUCAACAGAUUUCCACUGCAGGAUGAAUCUUUACAAUGUCAGUAAAAACAGUAGUCUAUUAUGACUAGACAUUCUAUUUCACUUCAUUGUUACUACUAAACUUCCUAUUUUUAUGGUGCCUUAGUAAUGAUGUUCCUUCUAUUACAUUUUAGUAUUCCUAUUCACUUAGUCUAAUAAAUCCCUGCUUCUCUGCAGUACCACUGAUCUGGGAAAUGUUCCUUCUCAUUUCACAAAGACAGAGAUAAAGAAAUGGAAAGUGCUACAGUCAAAACAGCAAAGACAAAGGCUGUCCAAUUAGGUAAUUGGACAUGUGCAAAACAACCAGAAUUCCAAAAUAUCUCCUGAAUGUUAUUGAGACAUAGAUUACUUUAGGCUUCAGAGGCUAGGGAAGGAGAAUCAGCAGUCUGAGGGUGAAUUGACUUCAGAAACUUAAGGACAAAUGACCAAGAAGAUGAGGAGCAGUUCACACCUCCUCUGGCCAAGCCCCAUCAGGGUGCGCUGCCUGAGCUUCCUGCUGAGGGUGAUACUCCAGCAAGAGCUGCCUUUCAAAAUUUGGAAAUUCAACCAGUGUGGACAAAAGUAUCAACGUUUAUGUUUCUCUUUGGUUUUUGCAUUUCAGUAGUUCAGAUUUCACUGAAAAUUCAUUGAGAUCUUCAGCACAUGGAAGAUUAGAAUCAGUAAUAUAGUAUCAUAAUGAAGAGUAAUUAAGGUGUUUCCUGGAUACCAGAAGGCGAUCAAGGAAAGCUCUUUUCUUUUUUUCCCAAGUCUCAUCUGGUGCUAUCAAGAUUAAAUGAAGCGCAACUCAUGGUUAAUGAAGUUUUUAUUAUUCUACUACAAAAAAAUUUUGUCUCUUAAAAUGCUUCCCUUUUGCCUUUCAUACACAGUUUCUGUCCAUACUUUGUCUAUUUUAGUGGAGUCAUAUGCCAUAUUUAGCCCAGACAAACGAUUUUAGAUUUUACUAAUUUCAAAAUAGUAAUAGUGUGUCAUCUCUGUAUAUUGUCAGCCUGCUUCACAGGGCUGUAAGUUCAUCUAAGACUCUUUCCACUACUGCACAGAAAACAAACGACCUUUCAGGGAAAUACCUAUCAGUGUUUCAAUCACUGCUGCUGCUUUUCAGUAAGGAUUAUCAAAAAUCUCAAACUUUAUUCUCCUAGAAGUACAGAACAACUGCACUUUAGUAAUUUUAAAUGCUGGAAUCUGGUUUAAGAGGGUGAUUUGUAGCAGUAGGUACUACAGUGAUUAAUGAGAUUCCAGUAGCUUUUCCCUAGCUUCCUGCCUAGAGAAAAAAAAUAACAAACAAAUAAACAAAAAACCCCACCCCAAACCCAUAAUGGCAGAUUAGUUGUGUGCCUUUUGCUGCUUUUUGUAAAAUGUUAAUAGACUCUAAAGGUUUCAUUUUUGAAUGAGAACCAUUUAAGCAAGAAUUUUAGCAGAUGCAGAGGACAUUCAAGGAACUUGUGAAAAUUCCUUAUGUUCUGCUUUAUAAAGUCUGUUACACACAUUUGGCACAAGCUGUGAAUCUAACCCGAUUUCCAAGUAUUUAAACGGUCCAUAAAAAAAAAGCCAUUUCUGUAAUAUAGUUAUAUUUUUCCUUUUUUUUUUUUUUCAAGUGCAUAUUAAGUACACAUCUGAAGAAACAAUAUUGUACUCCUUUAUUUUAGAUGUAGGUAGCAGUCACAAGAGAUUAAAUGCUGUUAUGUGUAACAAAGCAUGAAGAUGACAAGAUGCAUGAACCAGAGGCUUUUUAGCUCAGUCACAUCAUCCAGUACAUAAUGAUUCAGAUUUUGUAUUUCAGACACCAAUGUCAUCUUGGGGUUGAAAUCACUCUGGUUGAAUCUGUAUAAAUAAGAUAGCUCCCCACACCCCAAUUACCUUCCUACUUUAAAAAUAGAAAGGAAAAUGAGUCGUCCUGAGUUUAGAGAUGAGUUGUGUGUGGUAUUUGUGAUGGAAAAUUCUUUCUAAAAUAAACACAGUAAUAAAUGGUCUUCUUUUUUCCUCUCAUACUUAAGGGGACAGGCUGCUUCUAGUGACAGAGUACUAGACUAGACUGAUCCUGGUCUCUUUUAGGGUGUCAGUACAUACUAAUACAUACAGCACUAUAUCUUAGAGUCAUUAAUUGUGUAAAGAAGAAUAUUUUUCUGUAGUUUUUCUAUUAAAUUUCUUUAAAGCCACAUGCAGAACGUUACUUCCCAUGUUGUAUUUUAGUUCCAGCAACUCUAAUAUGGAUGAUAUGCUGAUGAGCUUUUGAAAUCCUGAAAAACAUGAAUUUGACAGGGAACCUAGAUAGGACUUUAAAAAAUAUUACAAAUAAUUUAACUGCUAUUACAAAAUUUUUAUAAAUGCUGAAUAAGGGAGUCAUUUAAUAAAUGCAUUAGCCUCUAUUAAUUUAGUUUCUUCACUUCAUUACAGAAGGACACUGUUGAUCCAAAAUUUAUUAGCAGUGUUCUGCUAAGGCCAGCGGAGGGCAGGCUUGAAUUGGAAACACUUUUUAUAACUGCAGUUACUUGAAGUUAAAAUACCAGAUAGUGCCUCAUCACUUCUCUACUAUUCUAGUUACCCAUGUGCUGGAUAAAAUCUUCUUUGCAGUCGCUGUUUGACAAAAUGAGUGUUUUGCGAAUGUUUAAAUAAAGAUGUUAAUAUGAAAGUGAA